rnacentral:rRNA from 1 species
UACGUAGGGUGCGAGCGUUGUCCGGAAUUAUUGGGCGUAAAGAGCUCGUAGGCGGUUUGUCGCGUCGGCCGUGAAAACUUGGGGCUUAACCCCGAGCCUGCGGUCGAUACGGGCAGACUUGAGUUCGGCAGGGGAGACUGGAAUUCCUGGUGUAGCGGUGAAAUGCGCAGAUAUCAGGAGGAACACCGAUGGCGAAGGCAGGUCUCUGGGCUGACACUGACGCUGAGGAGCGAAAGCGUGGGGAGCGAACAGG